rnacentral:rRNA from 1 species
GAUAAACGCUAGCGGCAGGCUUAACACAUGCAAGUCGAGGGGCAGCAUAGAUUGUAGCAAUACAAUUGGUGGCGACCGGCGCACGGGUGCGUAACGCGUAUGCAACCAACCCGUCACAGGGGGAUAAUCCGGAGAAAUCUGGUCUAAUACCCCAUAACAUAUGGAUCGGCAUCGGUUCAUGUUGAAAUUUUCGGAGGUGACGGAUGGGAGUGCGUAGCAUUAGCUUGGUGGGGAGGUAACGGCUCACAAAGGCGACGAUGAUUAGGGGGACUGAGAGGUUUUCCCCCCACACUGGUACUGAGACACGGACCAGACUCCUACGGGAGGCAGCAGUGAGGAAUAUUGGUCAAUGGGCGCAAGCCUGAACCAGCCAUGCCGCGUGCAGGAUGACGGCUCUAUGAGUUGUAAACUGCUUUUGUACGAGGGUAAAGUGGGUUACGUGUAACCUUUUGAAAGUAUCGUACGAAUAAGGAUCGGCUAACUCCGUGCCAGCCGCCGCGGUAA